CAUUGUGAGAUGGAAGUGAAGGAAGUGUGUAUCAAAAUCUUGGCUCGAUGUACAAAAACUUGAUACUAAGGCUGUUUAAGAGGGAAAGACUACUAAACAAGUUGAAUCCCAAAAGAUACACGUAACUUUAAGCAGUAAAUCAAGCAACAAGCAGAGCAAG
rnacentral:ncRNA from 1 species